rnacentral:rRNA from 1 species
GCACCGGCUAACUCCGUGCCAGCAGCCGCGGUAAUACGGGGGUGCAAGCGUUACUCGGAAUCACUGGGCGUAAAGAGCAUGUAGGCGGAUUAAUAAGUUUGAAGUGAAAUCCUAUAGCUUAACUAUAGAACUGCUUUGAAAACUGUUAAUCUAGAAUGUGGGAGAGGUAGAUGGAAUUUCUGGUGUAGGGGUAAAAUCCGUAGAGAUCAGAAGGAAUACCGAUUGCGAAGGCGAUCUACUGGAACAUUAUUGACGCUGAGAUGCGAAAGCGUGGGGAGCAAACAGGAUUAGAUACCCUGGUAGUCCACGCCCUAAACGAUGUACACUAGUUGUUGUGAGACUUGAUCUUGCAGUAAUGCAGUUAACACAUUAAGUGUACCGCCUGGGGAGUACGGUCGCA